rnacentral:tRNA from 1 species
GCUGAGGAUGGAGCUCAGUGGGAGAGUUCAGGCCUAGCAAGUGUGAAGCCCUGGGUUCCACCCCCAGCUCUGCA